rnacentral:rRNA from 1 species
AACGAACGCUGGCGGGCAGGCCUAACACAUGCAAGUCGAACGAAGCCUUCGGGCUUAGUGGCGGACGGGUUAGUAACGCGUGGGAACGUACCCUUUUCUACGGAAUAGCCUCGGGAAACUGAGAUUAAUACCGUAUAAGCCCUUCGGGGGAAAGAUUUUUCGGGAAAGGAUCGGCCCGCGUUAGAUUAGAUAGUUGGUGGGGUAAUGGCCUACCAAGUCUACGAUCUAUAGCUGGUUUUAGAGGAUGAUCAGCAACACUGGGACUGAGACACGGUCCAG